AGAGAUGCACUGGGCUUAAAGCGUGCGCAGGCGGUUUUGUAAGACAGAGGUGAAAUCCCCGGGCUCAACCUGGGAACUGCCUUUGUGACUGCAAGGCUGGAGUGCGGCAGAGGGGGAUGGAAUUCCGCGUGUAGCAGUGAAAUACGUAGAUAUGCGGAGGAACACCGAUGGCGAAGGCAAUCCCCUGGGCCUGCACUGACGCUCAUGCACGAAAGCGUGGGGAGCAAACA
rnacentral:rRNA from 1 species